UAGAGUUUUGGGAUCUGGCUCAGGACGAACGCUGGCGGCGUGCCUAAUACAUGCAAGUAGAACGCUGAAGGAGGAGCUUGCUUCUCUGGAUGAGUUGCGAACGGGUGAGUAACGCGUAGGUAACCUGCCUGGUAGCGGGGGAUAACUAUUGGAAACGAUAGCUAAUACCGCAUAACAGUAGAUGUUGCAUGACAUUUGCUUAAAAGGUGCAAUUGCAUCACUACCAGAUGGACCUGCGUUGUAUUAGCUAGUUGGUGGGGUAACGGCUCACCAAGGCGACGAUACAUAGCCGACCUGAGAGGGUGAUCGGCCACACUGGGACUGAGACACGGCCCAGACUCCUACGGGAGGCAGCAGUAGGGAAUCUUCGGCAAUGGACGGAAGUCUGACCGAGCAACGCCGCGUGAGUGAAGAAGGUUUUCGGAUCGUAAAGCUCUGUUGUAAGAGAAGAACGAGUGUGAGAGUGGAAAGUUCACACUGUGACGGUAUCUUACCAGAAAGGACGGCUAACUACUCAGCG
rnacentral:rRNA from 1 species